rnacentral:tRNA from 1 species
GGUCGGCCGUGGCCGAUGCAGCAGCGUUGACGGCACUGCUGCUGCCGAUGAUGGUGGCGGCCGGCCAUGACCGCGCUCGAUCCGCCGGGCUGAUCGC